UAUUUCAUAUUGUAUGAAAAACAUUGAUAUGAGUUGUACCUAGAAAGGUACAAGACGAUAUCAGUGCAAGCCUAGGAUUAGAACCACGGCAACUGUUAAGUGAGUCCUUAAGUAUUUAAGAAAUACUAAAGGAUAGAUUCCUCAAAGAAUGAGGAAGAAUUAGAGUAACGUAAUGGAAGCGUAAAUGUAUUAGACUAUGAAUCUAAUCCAUCAUUGGAUAUUUCUUCAUUAUGAAUGAAGAGAUAAACAGAUAUCUCUUUAUUAUGAUUAAAGAGAUAUUUGGAUGGAAACAUUAAAAGUAAUGACUUUAGUGUGUUCCAUUAUGAAUGCAAAUAUAUUGCCAUAUAGAAGCUUACAACAAUGUUGUUUGGAUGGGAAAGUUCAUUUAUGAACUCUCUAUUCGGUUCCAACCAGAAAAUGUCUCUAGUGUACUGACACUACGACACUAAUGGGGCGAUAGCUCAAGCCUUGGAAUCAAGGUCUCAUC
rnacentral:lncRNA from 1 species